AUGGCGGCCCCCGUCCAGCAGCCUCCUCAGCCUGGCGGCGGGAAGCGCAAAGGCAAGGCUCAGUACGUGCAGGCCAAGCGGGCUCGGCGCUGCGAGGGCGGCGGGCCCCGGCAGCUGGAGCCCGGGCUACAGGGCAUUCUCAUCACCUGCAACAUGAACGAGCGCAAGUGCGUGGAGGAGGCCUACAGCCUGCUCAACGAAUAUGGCGACGACAUGUAUGGCCCGGAAAAGUUUACAGACCAGGAUCAGCAACCCUCUGGAAGUGAGGAAGAAGACCAUGAUGUGGAGGCUGCCUUGAAGAAAGAAGUUGGUGACAUUAAGGCAUCUACAGAGAUGAGACUAAGAAGAUUCCAGUCUGUGGAGAGUGGAGCAAACAAUGUAGUCUUCAUCAGGACACUUGGGAUAGAACCUGAGAAAUUAGUACAUCAUAUUCUCCAAGACAUAUACAAAACCAAGAAGAAGAAGACUCGGGUUAUUCUACGAAUGUUACCCAUCUCAGGCACAUGCAAGGCUUUCUUAGAAGAUAUGAAAAAAUAUGCAGAAACAUUUUUAGAACCUUGGUUUAAAGCUCCAAACAAAGGGACAUUUCAGAUUGUAUACAAAUCUCGAAAUAACAGUCACAUGAAUAGAGAAGAAGUUAUCAAAGAACUGGCAGGGAUAGUGGGCAGCCUCAAUUCAGAAAAUAAAGUGGAUCUUACCAAUCCACAGUACACAGUCGUAGUAGAAAUCAUUAAAGCUGUCUGUUGUCUGAGUGUUGUGAAAGAUUACACGUUAUUCAGAAAAUACAACCUCCAAGAGGUGGUGAAGAGUGCUAAGGACUCAUCACAGCUUAACCCAAAGCAGGCAACACAAGCAGGAAAUGCGAAAGAAGCUACAUUGGAAUCUGGAGACAAAGCAAAUCAAAAUGACCCAGCAGAAGGAAAAAAUAACCAGCAGGUGGUACCAGAGAAUAGUGAGUUGAAGCCGACAGAACCAGUAUCUGAGAUACAGGUGAUCAAUGAGGGGGCAGCUAAACCUGAACUUACAAGUCAAGUCGCAGAAGGAUCUGAGUCAAAUGAAAAUGAUCUCUCAUAGGAAAAAAAACCAUUUGGUGUUGGAGACCAGACCUAGGUCUCUUCUGCCCCAGGGAAAUAGAGGCCACAAACAAAUGCAAAGAGAAACAUCAAGUUAAUUCUUGGCUUUUGACCUUUUAUGAGCUGAGGCGUGGAGGUUCUGAGGGGGAUUUUUUUAGAGAUAAUUUUGAAUACAUCAAGAGUUUGGAGCCAAUGCUGAACACAGGUACUUAUUUGCUAAUAGCAGCUUGAGUGAAGAAUGCAAAUGCCAGAGAUCGCCUACAAACAAAGCUUGGAUACAACUAUACAGUGAGGUUUUGAGAUCUAAUUCUGAUGUUCAGCUGAAAUCAGUUCUAUGGAGAGAGAGAAUAUGGCAACAGGAGAAAAAUAUUUUGGAGAAUGGAAUCCAUUGAGCACAGAGGUGAUACAGGAGGUAUGAGGAGGGGACCCGUAGUGUCAUACACAGAGGGUCACUUAUGUGAGCCGGGGGUAUGGAAAGAAACAUGGGGAGAUGCCAAGAGAUAAACUAUUUUUGAAGUUUUGCUACUUACUGUGUCUGUAGGAAACUUCCAUGAGGAAAGGAAAUUUCUCCCUUCCAUAUUAUAUGAUUUCCUCCUAGAACUAAGGCUACUGUUGUCAUUCCCUGAGUUCCCUUUCAUUGCGUCCUAAUUAGGCUUCAGGGACUUGUUUGGGAACCUGGUCACAGUCUCUUAUUUGCACUGUUUCUGUCAGAAAAUGUCUGAAUUCCACAACAAUCAUACAUACAGUAAAAUCUGCUUUUGUUUAUGCUGUAUCUGGGCCUCCCUGAUUUGCCUGUGGAGGGUUACCCUAACCUCUCUGGUGGGGUUGACACUAAUUCCUACCUCUGAUGACUGGCAUAUGAUCCAGGGAUGUGGGAGGACGCUGAUAGACAGCAUCUGGCCAGUCCGCUUAUACCAUUCCUGGGACCAUGUUGGUCAGAUAUGUGACCUAAGAUAACAAAUGCAGCCUUGGGAGUUGCUUGAAACUUUUGAAGCUGCCUUCUUCCCUCGGUUUAUUAAGCUGUGUACAUCUGGAGUUAGUUGCCAUCAAGUAGGAAGCACCUGCCCAAACAGAGCCAAGAUAAGGAGCACCAGAGUCAAGAAAUGGAGAGAGACUAAAUUUUGCUAACGUCACAUCAUCUCAGGAACCCGUGGGUGUGUGAGCCAAUAGAUGCCUUUUUUUUUUUUUUCCUUUUAAUUUAAGUCAGUUUGAGUUGAAGUUCUGUCACUUGCUACCAAAAGAAUCCUAAAACUUUCCCUUUUUGGAAACAACUCAUUUGUAAAGUGGAUUGCCAGUAUAUGUUUUUGCCACAUGUGUGUCUCAUAAUGAGAAUUACAUGACUACUCUUGGUUCACUCUUUAGACUGGUCAGAUGGACAGAACGUAAAAAUAUGAGAUUGCUACUUUAAUUAGUGGCAUUCACUCUACCUCUCCUCUGAUUGGAUCUGGACUGCUGACAACAGCUGAUUCAACAACUGCCGGGUGCUCAAUUAGUGCACUCUCCACCUCAAACGGCCCGAUCCGGUACCUAGAAGAGGAAGAGAAGCCUUUGAUCACUACACACCAAGUAGGAGAUCUCCCCUGGCAAACUGGUAUUUUCUAAAAGCGGCAAAAUGUACAAACCCAGAGGAUAUGAUGACAUCAUCAGCUCUGCCAACAAACCAGAAAUAACCAUCAUUGUCCAUCACACCUCUGUCUCCAGUGACAUAAAAAUUCCCUCUUAUGGUGGCAGCAGUUUUCUCUGGAUUGUCCUACGAAUCAAAGGUGACACUGGGGAUUAAUCUGGUCAGAAUAAAAAAAUGGGGUAUGGCACCCAUGAAAUGACUAGUACAUUGCACAUUCUAUUUCUAGAAGAAAUUAAAAUUUUAAAAAGGUAGUUCUUAGUAUAGAACACAAAAGAUCCAGGCAUAUAAUAAAAAGUAAACCUCUCUUCUACCUCUAGCACCAUGUGUCUACCUCCUCCCACCCCUCUCUCACCAAAGCCUGUCAAGUUGUCCUUUUGUGAGGAUGCCCACUGCAACUGGUUUCUCACCCUUAGAAUUUAAUCUUGCAAAAACCCUUAGGAGAGAGAGGAUGUUCUUUGCAUUUUACAGCUGAUGAAAUAGACUUGGAUUUUGUGACUUGCCCAAAGUUACAUAGCAAAACAUGGUGGAUAUGAAAUUUGGACCCAAGUCUGUAUGACUCCCUACACCGCCUUUUUUUUUUUUAUUAAAAUGUGAAUAGCAUGUUCUACGUUCUUGUACCACAUAUUCAGAGAAGAAACAGAAGGGCCGUGUAGAUGUUAGUCUGAGGGCAAUUUCCCCUUCUUUUCCAGGUGGUAGGAUGUUGCCAUUUUCAUCUAUAAUCUAGAAUGAAAGAAACAGUUUAGGUACCUCAGAUUUUCUUUUCACAAAAUGAAAAUGGGUUAUAAAUAGUUGUGUAAUGAACAGAAGAAAACAGAAGAUAUUCUCUCUUCUUAUUGAAACAGUUAGGUAUUACUCACCUGGACAUCAUAGGGAAGUACUCCUUUCCCCAUCGAGCCUGGUUUAAUUUCUUGUCCUUUCUGAUUGGCACAAAUUAUUCCCUAUUGAGAGGACAUAUUUUAUAUAAAUAUGUAAAAUUUCACUUUCUGUAGCUAUACCAUGACAAUGAAACCCAAGACCCAGUUUUGCCUGAUACUGAUUUUCUCAGUAUCCAAGCUUGUGUUCCAAAGUAUAUGGCGGUUCUCAAACUUGAGUGUGCAUCAGAAUCCUCUGGAGUAUUGUUAAAACAGAUUGCUGGGUCCCCUUCCAGAGUUUCUCAUUUAGAAGGUCGGGGAGGAGGGCAGGGGUAUGAGAAUUUCUUUUAUUUCUACCAAAUUCCUGUAUGCUGCUGAUACUGCUGGUUUGAGGACCACACUUUGAAAACCACUCCUUUUGACUAAGACUAACCACUUUCCAUUAAGUGCACCUUGGAAUAAACUCCCCAUUGGGGAUCUCUGGGGUCCUUCCCAGAGCAUUGGAAAGAUGAGCCACUCAAUUCUGAACCUCUUCAAUCCCUAACAUCUCUGAGAUUUAUCCUGUGUAGGGUGGAGGCAGGAAGACCAAAGAGUAAUCAUAAUUCUCCUUCAGUCAAGCCCAAUUGGGCAAUUCAGAAGUUCUGGGGAACACCAUUACAAUUUUAGAGCAUCACGGGGGCACCUCAGGGGCUCAGCUGACAGUUCUGGGGUUGAAAGUCUCCAAAUAUGCUAAACUUAAACUUUGCCCAUUAAACAUACCACUUCUGUCUGUCCGUAGCCCUCGUACAGUUCCAGACCAGUUUGUACCUUCCACUGUUCUAGCACCUCUGGGUUGAGUGGCUCCCCUCCUGUCAAGCAAUGCCGCAGCUUCUUGAAUUUAUAUCUGGAGAGAGAGUUGCAUGGGGUUUUGGGGGAGAGAAAUAUGAGUGGCUUUCAUUGCCAGAUAAUUAGAACAUAAGUAACAAGCAAAGAGCUAGGAGAGUCAAGUCUUAGGCAAGUUCAUUCAGUGAAUAUAUGUUGAGCCCCUACUACCUUGCAGACGUUGUUCUAGGCACAGCGGGUAUGUUAUGAUUAAAACAAAGAUUCUUGAAGGAGUUUAUAUUUUAGCAGGUUAUUCACGAAGGGAAAAGGCGGGAGAAAAUGCUAAUAAUGAUAUUCACUUAUGAGCCAAGUGAUAGGAGAGCUAAUGUUAAUUGAACAUUUAUUAUGCUGCAAGGGCUUUCAGAGCACUCUUAUAAUCCUCACAGCCCCUAUUUCUAGAUGAGGACAUUGAGGCUGAGGAAAGUUAAAGAACGUGCCCACGGCCUCCCAAAUAAUAAAGAACUGAGUUAAAUAAUCUGUACUCCGCACUUACCACUUGUCAGGUUUCUCACUCACCACACAUGCUGCUGGCAUUAGAUUAUUACCACAACUCCAUGAGGUGGCUCUUAAUGAUCUCUUAUGGAUGGAGUUAAAGGAGGUCUAGCAAGGUCCCUUUGAGUGUCUGAAGUCCACUAUUUGACUUUGGAGCUUGAGCUUUUAACCACUGAUCUUACUACUCAGCUGCCCAGCAGGACUCAGGUGAGAAAGCUUGGAACAGCCCAAAACGGGUGGGAGGGUUUGGUAGAACAUGAAUUGCGCCCAUUCAAAAUAGAAUAGGCUUUGAAUUACUCUUGAAAUGUGAGCAAGAUCUUUACAUUCUGAGGGCCACAAAGGAGCUGAUGCUGAUUAGGAAAAGAGAAGAUUCAUAUCUGCUUUAUUCUGUCUCUCAUAGCAAUCUCCCUCCUAGAUGUCCACACCUUGGUCGGAGGGGACAAAGGAUGAGUGAGCCUAUCCUAUUUUGUUUGUUUUGUUUAGGCUUUGAAGCAUCCAGGUUUGGGGGAGAAGGGGAUGAAUGUGGUGGCUUAAAUUGUUUCUCUUCCCUUCUCUCUCUCCUUAUGUAUUUAAUUCGUAUUAGUUAAAUAAAUAUACUUGGCAAUUUCACUGAA